UUCAAGGUCACAGGACAGGACCCUCUCCACUGGUCAAUGGGGUUGUGUCCCCUCAAGGUUGAAGCCAUGCACACCCCCACCCACACAGGGGCAGGAUUUGCACAGCCAAACCAAAUGCCCACACUCUGCCCAUCACAGACAGGAACUGGGCCAAAGGCCCCCGUGAGACCAGGGGAAUGCGGAUGUGGUAGACAAGGGGCUUAACAAAGGAAGGGUGAGGUCGUCCUCCGAAGGGCGGAGGGUAUGGACUGAACAGCUGGGCACCAAGGCGGCACCUGACCAGUCCAAGCCAGAGGAAGGUGGAGGCCCCAGCUGGGCGCAGCAGGCAGGCGGGAGACAGGUAGCGGUGCUGUCUGAUAGAGAAGACACUCGAAGCCCAGAGAGGUGAAGCAGUUCCCUCAAGGACACACAGCAAGGAAGCCGCUGCCCCAGGACUCAGCUCAGAAAAUGAGAUUACAGGCCGGGUGUUGUGGCUUAUGCCUGUAAUCCUAGCACUUUGAGAGGCCAAGAAGCUGAAGACCUUAGAAAACCUGAUCAACAUGAAGUAUGGCAUGAAGUAGUACUCGAUAAAGAGAAAGCGUGAUGGUAAUCUUGAAGAAAAGCACCAUAUUCAUCUCUGUAUUUCCUUCUGUGUUCCUCUCUGUCCCUGGGGGAGGGCCUCUCUGACCAUCUCAGGCUGUCAUUGUGGGGAUUCUGGAACUCUGGAGUGGAAGGAUUCCUGAGACCGUUCCAGGGGUAUGCAAGGUCAAACACUAGUUUCAUAAUAAUCUGUACACAUUAUUUACCUU